UUACCGAGUGUAGGGUUCCUAGCGAGCCCAACCUCCCACCCGUGUUUACUGUACCUUAGUUGCUUCGGCGGGCCCGCCAUUCAUGGCCGCCGGGGGCUCUCAGCCCCGGGCCCGCGCCCGCCGGAGACACCACGAACUCUGUCUGAUCUAGUGAAGUCUGAGUUGAUUGUAUCGCAAUCAGUUAAAACUUUCAACAAUGGAUCUCUUGGUUCCGGCAUCGAUGAAGAACGCAGCGAAAUGCGAUAACUAGUGUGAAUUGCAGAAUUCCGUGAAUCAUCGAGUCUUUGAACGCACAUUGCGCCCCCUGGUAUUCCGGGGGGCAUGCCUGUCCGAGCGUCAUUGCUGCCCAUCAAGCACGGCUUGUGUGUUGGGUCGUCGUCCCCUCUCCGGGGGGGACGGGCCCCAAAGGCAGCGGCGGCACCGCGUCCGAUCCUCGAGCGUAUGGGGCUUUGUCACCCGCUCUGUAGGCCCGGCCGGCGCUUGCCGAACGCAAAUCA
rnacentral:rRNA from 1 species